rnacentral:rRNA from 1 species
GGGGAAUUUUGGACAAUGGGCGCAAGCCUGAUCCAGCCAUGCCGCGUGCGGGAAGAAGGCCUUCGGGUUGUAAACCGCUUUCGGACAGAAAGAAAUCGUGUGGGUUAAUAGCCUGCAUGGAUGACGGUACUGUAAGAAGAAGCACCGGCUAACUACGUGCCAGCAGCCGCGGUAAUACGUAGGGUGCGAGCGUUAAUCGGAAUUACUGGGCGUAAAGCGUGCGCAGGCGGAUAUUUAAGUCAGACGUGAAAUCCCCGGGCUUAACCUGGGAAUGGCGUUUGAAACUGGAUGUCUAGAGUGUGGCAGAGGGGGGUGGAAUUCCGCGUGUAGCAGUGAAAUGCGUAGAUAUGCGGAGGAACACCGAUGGCGAAGGCAGCCCCCUGGGCUAACACUGACGCUCAUGCACGAAAGCGUGGGGAGCAAAC